rnacentral:rRNA from 1 species
UGCAGUCGAACGCGAAAGUUAACUUCGGUUAGCGAGUAGAGUGGCGCACGGGUGAGUAACGCGUAAAUAAUCUACCCUGAUGUCUGGGAUAACCCUCCGAAAGGGGGACUAAUACCGGGUAUAUGCUUGACUGUCGGGUCAAUCAGGAAAGGUGGGGCUUCUUCGGAACCUAUCGCAUCGGGAUGAGUUUGCGUACCAUUAGCUAGUUGGUGAGGUAACGGCCCACCAAGGCGACGAUGGUUAGCGGGUCUGAGAGGAUGAUCCGUCACACUGGCACUGGAACACGGGCCAGACUCCUACGGGAGGCAGCAGUGAGGAAUAUUGCGCAAUGGGGGAAACCCUGACGCAGCGACGCCGCGUGAGUGAGGAAGGCCUUCGGGUCGUAAAGCUCUGUCAGAAGGGAAGAAGUGCAAUACAGUUAAUACCUGUAUUGUUUGACGGUACCUUCAAAGGAAGCACCGGCUAACACCGUGCCAGCAGCCGCGGUAAUACGGAGGGUGCGAGCGUUGUUCGGAAUCACUGGGCGUAAAGGGCGCGCAGGCGGUUUGUUUAGUCAGAUGUGAAAGCCCACGGCUUAACCGUGGAAGUGCAUUUGAAACUGGCAGACUUGAGUACCAGAGGGGAAGGUGGAAUUCCCGGUGUAGAGGUGAAAUUCGUAGAUAUCGGGAGGAAUACCGGUGGCGAAGGCGACUUUCUGGCUGGAUACUGACGCUGAGGCGCGAAAGCGUGGGGAGCAAACAGGAUUAGAUACCCUGGUAGUCCACGCCGUAAACGAUGUGAACUAGAUGUUGGAGGUGUUGAUCCCUUCGGUGUCGGAGCUAACGCAUUAAGUUCACCGCCUGGGGAGUACGGUCGCAAGAUUAAA